rnacentral:rRNA from 1 species
GACGAACGCUGGCGGCGUGCCUAAUACAUGCAAGUCGAACGGACCUUGCUUGGACGGAGUGGAGUACUUGUACAAAGCGAAGACUGAGCGCUGGUUAGUGGCGAACGGGUGAGUAACACGUAGGUAACCUACCGAUAAGACGAGGACAACUCAUGGAAACGUGAGCUAAUACUGGAUGUGGUAUAUGGAAGGCAUCUCCUAUAUAUUAAAGGAGCUUUUGGCUUCACUUAUUGAUGGACCUGCGGCGUAUUAGCUAGUUGGUAGGAUAGCAGCCUACCAAGGCAAUGAUACGUAGCCGAUCUGAGAGGAUAAACGGCCACACUGGGACUGAGAUACGGCCCAGACUCCUACGGGAGGCAGCAGUAGGGAAUUUUCCACAAUGGACGAAAGUCUUAUGGAGCAACGCCGCGUGUGUGAAGAAGGUUUUCGGAUUGUAAAGCACUGUUGUAUGGAAGAAUAAGGUGAGAAGGAAAUGGCUCAUCGAUGACGGUAC